rnacentral:misc_RNA from 1 species
GAUGAAGAACGCAGCGAAAUGCGAUAAGUAAUGUGAAUUGCAGAAUUCAGUGAAUCAUCGAAUCUUUGAACGCACAUUGCGCCCCUUGGUAUUCCGAGGGGCAUGCCUGUUCGAGCGUCAUUAUAACCCCUCAAGCUCAGCUUGGUGUUGGGGCCUGCUGCACUGGCAGCCCUUAAAAUCAGUGGCGGCGCCAUCUGGCUCUAAGCGUAGUAAUUCUUCUCGCUAUGGAGUCCUGGUGGAUGCUUGCCACCAACCCCCAAUUUUUCUAUGGUUGACCUCGGAUCAGGUAGGGAUACCCGCUGAACUUAAGCAUAUCAAUAAGCGGAGGA